rnacentral:rRNA from 1 species
UACAGAGGUCUCAAGCGUUGUUCGGAUUCAUUGGGCGUAAAGGGUGCGUAGGCGGCGCUGUAAGUCAGGUGUGAAAUUUCGGAGCUUAACUCCGAAACUGCAUUUGAUACUGCGGUGCUUGAGGACUGGAGAGGAGACUGGAAUUUACGGUGUAGCAGUGAAAUGCGUAGAGAUCGUAAGGAAGACCAGUGGCGAAGGCGGGUCUCUGGACAGUUCCUGACACUGAGGCACGAAGGCCAGGGGAGCAAACGGG